CAACAAAAUCCGAUGAUUAGCUAUAGGAGAAAUAGGAAUUUAAGAGACUAUUUGGUACAUACUGAUAUACUGGCAUCUAGACGUGUUAUUUAUCAGAACCCUGGCUGCUUUCGCUGUUUGAAAUGCACGGCCUGUAACAAUAUGACACCUGGAAAAUAAUUUUUUCACCCGCAUUCAGGGAAAGAAUACAAGAUACGACAGCGGAUUACUUGUACUACUACACAUGUUGUUUAUCG